UGACCUAAACGGUAGUGUGCUUGCCUAGCAAGCAAAAAGCCCUGGGUUCGAUUCCCAG
rnacentral:tRNA from 1 species